rnacentral:rRNA from 1 species
CGAGGCGAACCGGGGAAACUGAAACAUCUCAGUACCCCGAGAAAAAGAAAUCAACCGAGAUUCCCCCAGUAGCGGCGAGCAAACGGGGAGCAACCCAGAGUCAACAUCAAUAUUUACCACAGGAGAAGGGUCUGGAAAAGCCGGCAAUAAAGGGUGAUAGCCCCGUAUCUAAAGCGGUAAGUGUUGUGAACUCGAAGAGUAGGGCGGGACACGUGUUAUCCUGUCUGAAUAUGGGGGGACCAUCCUCCAAGGCUAAAUACUCCUGACUGACCGAUAGUGAACCAGUACCGUGAGGGAAAGGCGAAAAGAACCCCGGCGAGGGGAGUGAAAUAGAACCUAAAACCGUGUACGUACAAGCAGUAGGAGCACCCGAAAGGGUGUGACUGCGUACCUUUUGUAUAAUGGGUCAGCGACUUAUAUUCUGUAGCAAGGUUAACCGCAUAGGGGAGCCGUAGGGAAACCGAGUCUUAACUGGGCGUUAAGUUGCAGGGUAUAGACCCGAAACCCGGUGAUCUAGCCAUGAGCAGGUUGAAG